ensembl:lncRNA
AUGACGUCACAGUCCCUUAUAACCGCGCGCUCGCAGACAGUCUUCACAGUUAGUGACGGUGAGAAUCUGAGCGAGUUUGCGGAGUGCCAGAGAAAAUCUACAUACGAAAGUCUGCAGACACAAACACACAGUGUACAGACUAAAGUUAAGUCCACUCUCAGCGUCACGAUGCGGCCAGCAUCUGAGUCCGUGUCUAAUGAGACAGAAGCGGCUGCGUGGCUGGAUAACAUCAGCUUCUGCAGCGGCUUCUGUGAGUGGAUCGACGAAGAGUUGAUCGAUUCACUGCCAGCUGACUCCCAGCCGCCUGUCGAGUCGAAAAGAGCUUCAGAAGCAGUGAGUGCACAGCCUUGUGCUGAGAAAAGCCCGACAGAGAUUCCUCCUCGAGGCAACAGGAGGAGCAGAAUCCAUGCGUUCUUCAAGAGAGCCUGGAAGGCCGUGAAGAAGCCGUUCCUCCGCUGCAGACGGACACGAGUCGAGUCUGUCCCGGGACCCUCUGAGCUCCAGAACGUGCCUGACACCGAGCCCACAUCUGCCCCAGAUCUCCCCGACUGGAGGCCAACUACCAAAUCUUUGCACAAAUUGUACACACUGCAAGAUCUGAUAGGAACAGGAAGCUACGGCAAGGUGUUCAAGGCAGUCCGAAAAUCAGACGGCCGAGAGGUUGCCAUCAAAAGAACGCAGAAAUGGAGCAACUACUGUUCUCUUCAGAUUGUGAGUUGGCAAAGAGUAAAGAACACGUUUGGUUGUUUAAAGCUAUCUAACCGCUGGUGGUCUUGUCCUGUCCUCUAG